rnacentral:rRNA from 1 species
UACGUAGGUGGCAAGCGUUGUUCGGAAUUACUGGGCGUAAAGGGCUCGUAGGUGGCCAACUAAGUCAGACGUGAAAUCCCUCGGCUUAACCGGGGGAACUGCGUCUGAUACUGGAUGGCUUGAGAUUGGGAGAGGGAUGCGGGAAUUCCAGGUGUAGCGGUGAAAUGCGUAGAUAUCUGGAGGAACACCGGUGGCGAAGGCGGCAUCCUGGACCAACACUGACGCUGAGGAGCGAAAGCCAGGGGAGCAAAGCGGGG